rnacentral:rRNA from 1 species
UACGUAGGGUGCGAGCGUUAAUCGGAAUUACUGGGCGUAAAGCGUGCGCAGGCGGUUUUGUAAGCCAGAUGUGAAAUCCCCGGGCUUAACCUGGGAAUUGCAUUUGUGACUGCCCGGCUAGAGUGUGUCAGAGGGGGGUAGAAUUCCACGUGUAGCAGUGAAAUGCGUAGAUAUGUGGAGGAAUACCGAUGGCGAAGGCAGCCCCCUGGGAUAACACUGACGCUCAUGCACGAAAGCGUGGGGAGCAAACAGG